rnacentral:tRNA from 1 species
GGGGUUGUGGCGGAACUGGUAGACGCGCCAGACUCAAAAUCUGGUUCCCUCGGGAGUGAGAGUUCGAUUCUCUCCGGCCCUACCA